rnacentral:rRNA from 1 species
GAGUUUGAUCCUGGCUCAGGAUGAACGCUAGCGGCAGGCCUAACACAUGCAAGUCGAGGGGUAACAGGGAGUGCUUGCACUCUGCUGACGACCGGCGCACGGGUGCGUAACGCGUAUGCAAUCUACCUCUUACUGAGGGAUAGCCCAUGGAAACGUGGAUUAAUACCUCAUAGUAUUAUAGACUGGCCUCAGUUUAUGAUUAAAGGUUACGGUAAGAGAUGAGCAUGCGUCCUAUUAGCUAGAUGGUAAGGUAACGGCUUACCAUGGCUACGAUGGGUAGGGGUCCUGAGAGGGAGAUCCCCCACACUGGUACUGAGACACGGACCAGACUCCUACGGGAGGCAGCAGUGAGGAAUAUUGGACAAUGGGCGAGAGCCUGAUCCAGCCAUGCCGCGUGCAGGAAGACGGCCCUAUGGGUUGUAAACUGCUUUUACAGAGGAAGAACCCUCCUUACGUGUAAGGAGCUGACGGUACUCUAUGAAUAAGGAUCGGCUAACUCCGUGCCAGCAGCCGCGGUAAUACGGAGGAUCCAAGCGUUAUCCGGAAUCAUUGGGUUUAAAGGGUCCGUAGGCGGGUCUAUAAGUCAGUGGUGAAAGUCUGCAGCUUAACUGUAGAACUGCCAUUGAUACUGUAGACCUUGAAUUAGUAUGAAGUGGUUAGAAUGUGUAGUGUAGCGGUGAAAUGCAUAGAUAUUACACAGAAUACCGAUUGCGAAGGCAGAUCACUAAUACUAUAUUGACGCUGAUGGACGAAAGCGUAGGUAGCGAACAGGAUUAGAUACCCUGGUAGUCUACGCCGUAAACGAUGGUUACUAGCUGUCCGGCCUAAUUGAGGGCUGGGUGGUUAAGCGAAAGUGAUAAGUAACCCACCUGGGGAGUACGUUCGCMAGAAUGAAACUCAAAGGAAUUGACGGGGGCCCGCACAAGCGGUGGAGCAUGUGGUUUAAUUCGAUGCAACGCGAAGAACCUUACCUGCCCUUGACAUCCUCGGAAAGGUCCGGAAACGGACUUGUGCCUUCGGGAACCGAGAGACAGGUGCUGCAUGGCUGUCGUCAGCUCGUGUCGUGAGAUGUUGGGUUAAGUCCCGCAACGAGCGCAACCCUCGUCCUUAGUUGCCAUCAUUUAGUUGGGCACUUUAAGGAAACUGCCGGUGAUAAGCCGGAGGAAGGUGGGGAUGACGUCAAGUCCUCAUGGCCCUUACAGGCUGGGCUACACACGUGCUACAAUGGCAUCUACAGUGAGCAGCGAUCCCGCGAGGGUUAGCUAAUCUCCAAAAGAUGUCUCAGUUCGGAUUGUUCUCUGCAACUCGAGAGCAUGAAGGCGGAAUCGCUAGUAAUCGCGGAUCAGCAUGCCGCGGUGAAUACGUUCCCAGGCCUUGUACACACCGCCCGUCACACCAUGGGAGUUGGAUUCACCCGAAGGUGGUGCGCUAACCAGUUUACUGGAGGCAGCCAACCACGGUGGGUUCAGCGACUGGGGUGAAGUCGUAACAAGGUAGCCGUAGGGGAACCUGCGGCUGGAUCACCUCCUUUCU